UUUUAUCCAGUCUCAAAGUCACCUGCAUUAUUAUAGCACUGCAGUUACAAUGAAUGGAAGGCUUGAAAAGAUUACUACUCAGCUUUCUAACCAAUAGCUGUUUGGUAUGGAUCCCAGGGGCGGGCACAGUUUGGAUGUUGACAAAUCAGUGGCUCGGGAGGGUGAGAAAUUAAGAAAAAUAAGAAAAUUCAUAAAGACUGACAGCUACUGUGUGAAACAGUAUAACCGUGACAUUUAAGAGGAGAUUUGAAAGCUUGCGUUUUAACGUUUCAAAAUGACUAAGGGUAUUGAGAUGGAAUUAAAACUUUUAAUUAGUGGUUUUGUGUUUCUACCCAGCAACACGAAUAACCUGAAUGCCGUAGAUCUUGAACAAAUAAAUCGGGUUGUUCACAGUUAAGUUUGUGCGAGACAUAACCGUGGCUGUAGUGAUCCCAUUGUGGCUCUGGUACAGUAGUUCAAUAUUAGACACACCAGCGCAUACAUCACAUUGGUAUAUUAGUCACUCCGACGUUUUAAGGGCCCGCAAAAAUACCUAGAAAAUCGACUUAUUCAACGUUUUUUACGGUAGUUUUAUGAUUUCACAUCCUUGUAUGCGUAUGUAUAAUUCUAACAUGACUGCAAAAUAUGGUGUGAGAUUUAACUUUCCUCAAAAUCUCUCUAAAGCUACAACUGGUUUAAAACACACUCAUUAAUUACAGUGGCUACAAAAGUGAUAUGAAUCGUUUAUGUUCUGUUGCAUUAUUCAUGCAGUACAUUUCAGGGGUCGGUAUUCAUCAAGCAGUAGUAUGUCAAGAAGUGCAUUGCAGCUGUAUUAAUGUGUCCCCUGGUAUAACAAUGAAAAAUGUGCACAGAAUGUAUAAUAGUUAAUACAUUUGUUUUAUAAUACACAACAUGCAGGUAACAAUUCCUCCUUCUAAACAGUUUCAUAUUCCAUUUGGCUUAUUUUUAAACCUUUUUAAAGUAAACUGAGAAGUGACACGAUAACAACCUGUCUCGUUACCUCUGUCCUUCCAGGUGAUUUCCCAGCUGCGAAUCUUAAGCAGAUCCGUCACCGCUGGCUCCAAGUUCGACAGGGAAAUCUGGUCAAACGAGCUCUCACCUGUCCUCAACCUCUGGAAGAAACUUAAUCAGGGUUCUAAUCUCAUCCAUCAGAAGGUAUCUCCUCCCAAUGAGAGGCAGGGGUCCCCAGUUCUGUCAUUCAUCAUCCUAGAGCAGUUUAAUGCGAUCCGACUGGUUCAGAGUAUUCAUCAGUCCUUGGCAGCGCUCAGCAAAGUUAUCCGAGGAACUUCCCUGCUGACAUCUGAAGUGCAGAAGCUUGCGACGGCAUUACUGAACCAAGAGUGUCCACUAAGCUGGCAGAACAAAUGGGAAGGCCCAGAGGAUCCCAUGCAGUACCUCCGAGGAGUUGUGGCCCGAGCUCUUGCAAUACAGGUAAAGUAGUGUGUAAA